ACAAGAUUUUCCUCAAACUCUUAGUGAUUCAACUGAGAGUAAUGUGGAAGAAUUCAAUGAUGAGGAUUCCACAAAGGACCAUUCCGAUGUGCAAUCAGACAUUGAAGUUGUUCCAAAGCUGAGAAGGACAGAAAGCAUUCAGAUGAAAAAAGUUCCAGAUUUUUCUGAUGCCCUCUAUGAUUCAAGUGAUGACAGUGCAGAGGGCCCAUCUAAGUCUGAGAUGGCUUCACAAAGGCCAAGGAGAGGCUGUUACUGUCCUAUUCAAAAGAUUCUUGUAGGAUCAGAUGCCUCAAGUGUAGACAGCGAAGAAGAGUAUAUUCCAGGUCCAAUGGAGGA